UCAGAAACCGAAAGUUAGUUUUUGUACUAAAAUGGCGAGCAGAGCUGUUGUCUUCUUAGCGUCCUUCAUUGUUUUCAAUGGAGGGUGUGGUGUGUUUUGUAACACUCCUGUGGACUGUGAAACUGGGAAAUCGUGCACUUUCAAUCCAGGAGUAACAAAACCUGAAACUAUUGAAUGGAAAUACAGUAAAACUGUAGAUAAUGUGAUAAAAGUGCUUGACUGGGAUCCUCAGAUUACAAAACCAAAUAAUACUUUUUGGUUUCCACGACUUGUAAAUCGAGCAACACUUGACCCUAAAACUGCAGCGCUUACAAUUCUACAGGUGAAGAAAGAAGACAGUGGUUUCUAUACAUGUGAAAUCCAGAUGAAGGGAGCGCUAACGUAUUACCAUUAUAAAGUCGAAGUGUUUGAUCCUGUUCCAAAGCCAAAAGUUAAGUGUGUGCUAAAUGGCCCAGUUGUAACAGCACUUUUGUGUUCAGUGGACCCUCAAGUACAGGCAACAAUUGAAUGGCAAAUACCAAAUGAAGGGAAAAGAGGGAGUGAGAGAAUUGAUAUCCCUGAAGGACACUCAGAGGACUGAGCAAUGAGUCAACAGAUUUCACUCUGAAGACGUGUAAAGAAUGAGUGCAAUCUGUCCUACAAAAAGGCCGCUGCAGAGAUGUUCCGAACCCCACAUCAAGAGUCUGCUUAUCCUCAAAAAGUUUGACAACUCCAAAGGGAGCCCUAAAAGCUUUUCCCCCCAGCUGGCUAACAUGCUGAGCCACAAUUACAACAUUUCUUCCCAACAUUUACAACUUUUACCCUUGGAAGACUUUCCAUUAUGUCUCUAAACAGGUCACAAUGCAGACCCAUUUUGCUUACUCCUCCUGUGUUAUCUUAACACCAUUAUAAACACAUAUGUAAGUUAUAUAAGUUUUUCUGUCUUUAACUAAAAAUAUGGUGUUAAGUAUCAAGCCACACCGUUGGGGUAUAUCAGGAUAAAGGAACAUCUAUAUUGCAUGCUUAAAUUACACAUAUAUAAUGAUUUCUGUAUGUUAGACUUGUUUAAUCCAUGCAUGAUUUUAGAUUUUGUUCUGUUAUUGUGAUAUUAAAAGUUGUUUUUGAAUAACUUUGUGAGCCAACUUGGUGUUUUCGUCAAAACUAAGGUUUGAAGACCACCUACAGGCCUCAAUCGGUUAAACUGCAUGGUGGGCGGAAACCUGUGCAUCACGUGAUCUUAAGGGAAGUUCAAACUCAUUGGCUGUUAAUUCCUGUGUCCUAGCCCCCUUCAGUUCAUUUGAAAAGGUAGCGCAGCAUUGGUAAAAAAGAAGUUAGAAGAGGAAAAGUUAGACAAAAAAAGCAGUGGUUAACAAAGAAAGCAGUUUGUAGUUAACUAAGAGGAGCUUUUACCAUGUGAGAACGAAGGGAGCAUGUGUUAGCAUGUAGUCAACUCAGAAGGCAGCUCACUUAGAAGGAUCCAGGAGUCAAACCCACCCAGUUCAUUGUUCGUGCUUCGCAAGUUUGGUUUGAAUGUAAAUUGUUCUUAUUCAGCCACAUGUAGAGAGUUCAACUAUUCAUUGAAUUGCAAGAAACGCGUGGACCCGUGAUCCACAUCUGGACAUAUAAUCCAUAUAAGAAAAAGUAAGCCCUUCAGUCUGAUCUGAACACCUUUGAACCAACUUUUGCUGUGCCGCGGUGCCUGGGAAAAGUUCUGCUGGCAGACAAAGUCAUUUCUCCAUAGGUCAGGGCCUGAAAAGAAACCAACAUUGGGGGUGAUUCAGCACCAGAGCCGUCUCUGCAGUCCUCCUUCAGCAGGAACACGUUUUCAGGUGCUCACGGUGAAUGGUUGAUUUCGCUACAAUUUUUAUUAGUUUUCGCUAUUAAUCGACUGCAUACGCAUUAAUCAGGCUCUAAAAUCUUUGGUUUCCACCUACCAUUCAAUUAUACUUCUAUCAUUAUCACUUAGUUAUGCCAUUUACUUAUUAACUGUCAUUGUAUUUGUUAUGUUUUAUUAGUUUAAUAAACAUUAUAAUGAUUUGAAACUUAGCGCUGUGGCUUUAAUUACUUCGGUGAGAAAAGAAUCAGUUUAUGUACUCACUCCAACAGAAAGGGACUGAUAUGUUUUGAAUUAGGUUCUCCGGCAUGGUAUCCUUAAAAGAGCCAGUGGUGCUCUGUAUCUUGGCUAUUAAUUAUAUAAUUAAAUAAUUAAUUAAUAUUCUCUGUUUUUGCUUCUAAAUUGCUUGGUCUCCUCUGUGCCAAAACGUCUUUUAAGUGUGGUGAAUGGGAAUGGCAACAUUACAAAAUGGUAAAUGCUUUACUGUGCUAACUUUUUUUGGAAUGUGUUGCAGGCCUGAAAUGCAGGAAUGGAUGUUUAUUAAUAAAUAAAAUGAAGUUGACCAGACAAAACAUGAAAUAUCUCGGGUUCAUCCUGUCUGCAAUUAAAUUAAAGUCAAAGUAAAUGUUGAGUUUGAAAUCCAUGGAUGUAUGUUUAGGAUUUACCACUCUUAGCCUGUUCCACCCACCCUAAAUCCCAACAAGACGAUGCACAAAGCCAUGUAACUCCAGUGUAUACACUCCAGUAAGAUAUGGGAUUACAGUAUUGUGCAACUUUCCCUGAUAUGACAUCUUCAGAGGAUCUUUCUGGUGAUACAACACGGCAAGUCUUGACCAGCCCAGUAAUUGGAACCGUCCUCUCAAACCAACUGUUUAUGUAAAGUAGGAGCCAAAGUACUGUUCUGGUACAGUGGUAGCCACAGCAGACCAUGCUCCUCAAGCACAAGAUCCCUUCCUCAGUAGACAGGAGUUACACCUCAUGGCAGCAAGGGGGUGCCAGGUCCCCACAGGAGCAGUGUGAGGUAGAGAAAGUGGCAGUAACACAGGCAACAACACAAGUAGAACUACAAUAGUUCAUCAUUUUGAAUGUAGAAUUUAAACAGUAUCAGUGGAAAACAAUUACAAGUGCUAACUAAACAUUCUUACCAUGAAAGAAAUGCACUCAGCAUAUUAAUGUUCUGUAGUUAUAAUAAGAUGAUACAAUUUU